CAUGGACUGUGUCUCACCCAUGGCUAUUUGCAGCCCCUAAGGAGAGCCUGCUUUCUCCACCACACCCUAUCCUUGCCCAGGUACAUGAGAAGCUGGGGUCAGAGCUGCCAGGCCUGGAGCCAGCCCUGCAGGUGGACCUGGUGUGGGCCCUGUGUGUGCUGCAGCAGGCACGGGAAGCAGAGCUGCAAGCCGUCCUCCACCCUGAAUUUCACAUCCAAUUUCUAGGGGGCAAGUCUCAGAAGGAUCAGAACACCUUCCAGAAGCUGCUCCACAUCAACGCCACUGCCCUGCUGGAGCACCCCGAGUACUCAGGUCCCCUUCUGCCUGCCUCGGCUGUGGCCCCUGGGCCCUCAGCCCUUGACAGGAAGGUGACCCCCCUGCAAAAGGAGCUGCAGGAGACACUGAAGGGGCUGCUGGGGAGCGCCGACAGGGGCAGCCUCGAGGUGGCCACGCAGUAUGGCUGGGUGCUGGAUGCUGAGGUGCUGC
rnacentral:sRNA from 1 species